rnacentral:rRNA from 1 species
GGUGAAUGACUUGGCUCGAAAUGCCGAUGAAGGUCGUGGCAAUCUGCGAUAUGCCCAGGUGAAAUGCAUGCAGUUAUUGACCCUGGGAUUGCUGAAUGGGACAUCCUAUACUUCGGUAUGACCAGUAAUGGUCGGGAACGCGGGGAACUGAAGCGUCUUAGUACCCGCAGGAAAAAAAAUCAAUUGAGAUUCGGUAAGUAACAGCGAGUGAAAACCGAACAGAGCAAACUGAAUCCCUGUUAGAAAUAAUAGGGAGAUGUGGUGUUUUAGACUGUUUUUUCGUCCUAGUUGACUGAUUCAAAUAUCUCUGGAAAGAGAAACCAUAGAGGGUGAUAGUCCCGUAGAAGAAGGUCAAAGGAUUUAACAGGAUCUAGAGUAGGAUUCAUUGGAAAUUGGGUCUGAAUUUGGGGGCCAUCAAUCCCCAACUCUAAAUACAUUUCGAGUCCGAUAGUGUACUAGUACCGUGAGGGAAAGUUGAAAAGUACCCGUAACAGGGAGUGAAAAGAUUUGAAACCUAAUGGCGAUAGUGUGAUGCGGCUCUUAGGAGUUGCAUCGUACGUUUCGAAUAACGGACCAGGGAGUGUGCUUAAGUGGCGAGAGUAAGAAUCAACGAUUCGUACUCGAAGGGAAACCAAUAGUCCGCAAGCAAUGAGGGACAAGGUGUGAAAGCGCCUUUAGUCAUUUGAGUACUACCCGAAACCGGGUGAUCUAUCCGUGGGCAAGGUGAAGCGAAGGUAAAACUUCGUGGAGGCCUGAAGAGGUUCUGUGGACAAGCGUUCUUCUGACCUGUGGAUAGGGGUGAAAAGCCAAUCGAACCCGGUAAUAGCUGGUUCCUGCCGAAGUUGGCUUCAGUCAAGUCUCCGACGAGAUUGUAAAGGUUGUAAAGCUACGGAUUUGAAAUUAAGGGGAAGAAAUUCCUCGGUUUCUUGUCCAACUCAAAAUGCCUUUACAUUGUAGACUCGGGGAUACGGCGGUAUGCGGUAAGCGCGUAUCGCGAGAGGGGAACAACCCAGACCAUAGUUAAGGUCCCAAAAUACUGAUUAAGUGUUAAAGGGUGAAGAGUGUAUAUUAGCAAAUACAGAUAGGAGGUAGGCUCAGAAGCAGCCAUCCUUUAAAGAAAGCGUAACAGCUCACUAUUCUAGCUAAUAUGUCUCGAAAAUGGACGGGACUAAAUCAGUUACCGAUACUAUGGACAUCAUAAAUGAUUGUGGUAGGCAGGUGUUCUGCUUGAGAAAAAUUUUUUCCGUAAGGAGAAGUGAAUCGAGUAGAAAUAAGAAUCCUGGUGGUAGUAAGAUCAAUUUGCAGUGAGAAUCUGCAAUACCGAAAGGGCAAGGGUUCCUUGGCAAUGUAGAUCAGCCAAGGGUAAGUCGAUCCUAACUCAACUCGUAAAUCGAGUGAGGGGAAAGGGAAAAAGGUUAAAAUUCCUUUACUAUCUAAGUACCCGGCAACGAAAGCUUUAUUUCUGACGUUUCAGGCUAGGUCAAUACUUACUGUCGUGAGUAUUAACUAAAAUAAGUCGAGGGAGUAUCUUAAUGGUGAGAACUCGAUUAAAUUUAGGAAUAGUGUUCCUUAAGGAACAUUUGGCCAAUGCCCGGAACCCAUGAAAAAGAAAUAAAGAUGAAUCUUAGAUAAUCGUACCCAGAACCGACACAGGUGCCCCUAGGUGAGAAGCUUAAGGUAUGAGAGAGUAAUCCAAUUAAGGGAAUUCGGCAAAUUAGUCCUGUAUCUUUGGUAUAAGGGAUCCCUGCGAUUGUAUUUGUAUAAAUGCGAUUACAGGGCUCAGUGACUAGAGGGGUCCGACUGUUUAAUAAAAACUUAACUGUUCGCUAGCCCGCAAGGGUGUGUAUGGACAGUUACGUCUGCCCAGUGCCAGAACUUGAAACUUCUUUUCAAGGAAGCUAAGAGCUGGUAAACGGCGGGAAUAACUAUAAUUCUCUUAAGGUAGCGAAAUGCCUUGUCGUUUUAUUGACGACUUGCAUGAAAGGCGUAACGAGAUCCCUACUGUCCCUAAUUGGAACCUCCUGAACACUCCAUACUGGUGCAAAGGCCAGUGACCUCCAGUGGGAAGCAAAGACCCCGUAGAUCUUUACUACAGCAUGUUGUUGCGAAGUGAGUUUUGUCGUGCAGUGUAGGUGGGAGUUGUUAAAACUUGAACGCUAGUUUAAGUGUAGACAUCAAUGAGACACCACCCUUCAAAAUUUACUUUGCUUACUUUGGAAACGAAGGACAUCUAUAUGUGGGUAGUUUGGCUGGGGCGGCACCCUGCUGAAAAGAUAUCAGCAGGGCCCAAAGGUUGGCUCAAUCGGGUCGGAAAUCCGAUGUAGAGUGCAAGAGCAAAAGCCAGCUUGACUGUGUUCCUAAUAAAACGGAACUCAGCAAGGAAACUUUGGUCUAGCGAACCCUUACACCUUCUUGAUGAGGGUUAAGGAUGACAGAAAAGAUACCUCGGGGAUAACUGAGUGGUAGCGCCUAAGAGUUCAUAUCGACGGCGCUGUUUGCUACGACGAUGUCGGCUCGCCGCAUCCUGGAUGUGCAGAAGCAUCCAAGGGUAGGGGUGCUCACCCAUUAAAGCGGCUCGUGAGCUGGGUUUAGAACGCUGUGAAGCAGUUUGUUCGAUAUCUAGUGGAGGUGUUCAAUGUCUGAGAGGAAGGAUCAUUUAGUACGAGAGGAACAGUGGUUCGGGGCCUCUGGUGUAUCGGUUGUCUGAUAAGGCAGGCCGAGCAGCUACGCCCCAAAGGAUAAGAGCUGAAAGCAUCUAAGCUCGAAGCCUACCUCGAAAAGAGACAUUACAAUCACU